rnacentral:rRNA from 1 species
AUUGAACGCUAGCGGGAUGCUUUACACAUGCAAGUCGAACGAGUGGUGGACGGGUGAGUAAUAUAUCGGAACGUGCCCAGUAGCGGGGGAUAACUACUCGAAAGAGUGGCUAAUACCGCAUACUCUUGGAGCGGCCGAUAUCGGAUUAGCUAGGUGGUGGGGUAAAGGCUCACCACGGCAACGAUCCGUAGCUGGUUUGAGAGGACGACCAGCCACACGGGAACUGAGACACGGCCCAGACUCCUACGGGAGGCAGCAGUGGGGAAUGUUGGACAAUGGUGGAAAGCCUGAUGCAGCCAUGCCGCGUGUAUGAGAAGGCCUUCGGGUUGUAAAGUACUUUUGGCGAGGAAGCGGUAUUUGCAGAAUAAGCACCGGCUAACUACGUGCCAGCAGCCGCGGUAAUUC